UUCUUACCCUCUCCUCCUCCCCACUUCCAGAUCCGGCAGAGCUCCUCUCCAUCGCGCCCUUCCUCACCACAUCGCCACCCCGACCCCUCCCCUUCCUCCCCGCCGUCUUCUCUCUCGCGACGCCGCACCCUCCUCGCCAGCCCCUCGCUUCCUUCUCCACCAUCUCACGCUCCCUCCCCAACUGAUCCAAGAUACGGAAACAAUCCUCCUCUCCCCCCUUGAUCGAUCGAUUCCAACCGGCCGCGGCGGUGAUGGAUCUCUCCGACGGGGCCGACGGCACGCGACUGUAGGAGAUGUACCAGAGCACGCGAUGGCUGCAGGGUAAGGGAGUCACCGCGGCCUAGAACCGGCUGGCUCCCCCCGCUCUCCGAGCUAGGAGGUAGUCUGCUUCUCCACGGUCGCGCGCUCGCGCCGGUAGAGGAGCCACCCUGCUUCUUCUCCGACGACGACGCGGUCGUGCCCUCCGAUGCCUCUCGUCCGCGUCUGGUGCCGUACAAGAGACGCUGACUGCUGUCGUCCUUCGCUCCUACUGGCCGCCCCUGGCCCCGCCUCUGAGGUCAAGGUCGACGCGGUGGAGAACGAUGAGGUCAUCGUACACGCCCUGCAGGAGGAGCUCACGCAGGUCGCCAUGGCCAACAGUGGGGAGGCCGAGCGCCGUGCCACGGUCCUCGCGCAGUAGUGGUUUCGUCCCAAGGUCGUCGGCUAUCUGCCCUUAGAUAUGGUAUAGCAAUGUUCCUCAUACAAAGCUGGUGGAGUACAAGGGGCACCAGAACUGGGUUAAUGUCUCUGGGUGAAUUGAAUGUUCCUCAUACAAAGCUGGUGGAGUACAAGGGGCACCAGAUAUGGCUGGAUACAGGCAUGUGGACACAGCCAUGGCCACAGAUCUCCGGCAACCAAGACGGCGACAUCGUCGACGGGAUCCUCGGACGACCUGCGUCCUUCUGCCUGCGUCCUUCCCCGACCAUGCCCGUGACCUGCAUCCAGCUGCUCCUGCCCUCCUCAACUUCGCUCCUGGUGAGCCGUUGUAGGUGAGACAAUUGACUUGAUUUGUUGCUACUGGUAGAACUGUUGCUGUAGUUUGGGUGUAGCCACAACUGCUGUAGGUUGGGUGUAUAGGAGGUUGACUGUAUAGUUUGGGUCAAGCUGUUGUUUUGCUGUGCUCGAUGAUACUAUUGCUGCCUGUAUACUGAUACAUGUGGUGAUAUUUACCUGAACUGAAGUUGUGAAUGUACCAUUAUUUUCCUGCUA